UUAUCAUUUAGAGGAAGGAGAAGUCGUAACAAGGUUUCCGUAGGUGAACCUGCGGAAGGAUCAUUGUCGAAACCUGCCCAGCAGAACGACCCGCGAACACGUUUAAACACCCGCGGGGAGGCGAGGGGCAUCCCUGCCACGGACCUCCCUUCAUCCGCCGGGAGCCAUCCCGGCGGGACUAACGAACCCCGGCGCUAUCUGCGCCAAGGAAAAGAAACGAAUGAGCGCGCUCGUGCGGGGACCCGGAGACGGUGCACCCCGCUCGAGUUGCGUGUUCUUCGAUAUGUCAAAACGACUCUCGGCAACGGAUAUCUCGGCUCUCGCAUCGAUGAAGAACGUAGCGAAAUGCGAUACUUGGUGUGAAUUGCAGAAUCCCGUGAACCAUCGAGUCUUUGAACGCAAGUUGCGCCCGAAGCCAUUAGGCCGAGGGCACGUCUGCCUGGGCGUCACACAACGUUGCCCCCCCAACCCCCGCGGUUGAGGGGGCGGAAAAUGGCCUCCCGUGAGCGACUCGCCUCGCGGUUGGCCCAAAAACGAGUCCUCGGCUGCGAUCGCCGCGGCAUUCGGUGGUUGUCGAAAAAUCGGUGCCCCGCCGCGCGCGCUUCGGCAGUUCACGAGCCUCUCAGUACGACCCCAGUGCGCCGCUGAACGCGGUGCCUCCAACGCGACCCCAGGUCAGGCGGGGCUACCCGCUGAGUUUAAGCAUAUCAAUAA
rnacentral:misc_RNA from 1 species